AUUGAACGCUGGCGGCAGGCCUAACACAUGCAAGUCGAGCGGAUGAAGCGAGCUUGCUCCUGGAUUCAGCGGCGGACGGGUGAGUAAUGCCUAGGAAUCUGCCUGGUCGUGGGGGAUAACGUCCGGAAACGGGCGCUAAUACCGCAUACGUCCUGAGGGAGAAAGUGGGGGAUCUUCUGACCUCACGCUCUCAGAUGAGCCUAGGUCGGAUUAGCUAGUUGGUGGGGUAAAGGCCUACCAAGGCGACGAUCCGUAACUGGUCUGAGAGGAUGAUCAGUCACACGGGAACUGAGACACGGUCAAGACUCCUAAGGGAGGCAGCAGUGGGGAAUAUUGGACAAUGGGCGAAAGCCUGAUCCAGCCAUGCCGCGUGUGUGAAGAAGGUCUUCGGAUUGUAAAGAACUUUAAGGUGGGAGGAAGGGCAGUAAGUUAAUACCUUGCUGUUUUGACGUUACCAACAGAAUAAGCACCGGCUAACUUCGUG
rnacentral:rRNA from 1 species